rnacentral:rRNA from 2 species
UACGGAGGGUGCAAGCGUUGUCCGGAUUUAUUGGGUUUAAAGGGUGCGUAGGCGGCUAUUUAAGUCAGCGGUGAAAGACAUCGGCUCAACCGAUGCAGUGCCAUUGAUACUGGAUAGCUUGAGUGUUGGAGGGGUACAUGGAAUUGAUGGUGUAGCGGUGAAAUGCAUAGAUACCAUCAGGAACACCGAUAGCGAAGGCAUUGUACUGGCCAACAACUGACGCUGAGGCACGAAAGCAUGGGUAGCGAACAGG